GUGUUUUGGUUACCAACACCUCCAGAGAAACUCCCUGUUCUCCAAAUGAUUACAAGAGCUUCUGGGAAGAACAGGAAUCUGUAGGAGCAAACAGGAAAUGGAAGAUGGCACAGCCGGCAUGACAACCCAUGUCUUCAACUUCUCAGUGAAGACUCUUUCUACCAUCCUAUACAUCUCAAGCCCAGUGGUUCUCAAAGAAUGGUCCCUGGAUCCCAGCAUCAGCAGUGCGUGGGAACUUGUCUGAUAUGAAAAUUCUCCAGCCCUACCACAGAUCUCCUGAAUCAGAAACUCUGAGGAUGAGGUCCUGGAAUCCAUGUUGUAACAAGCCCUCUGGAUGAUUCAGACGCAUGCUUGAAUUUAAGGACCAUUGCACUAUUUUAACCUUGUAUAAGAGGAAAAGUGGAAGGAAAUUGAGAUAAUUGACUGAGAAAUAUGUGAUGUCUGUCAUGAAAGGUUUGAAAGAUGUGUAUGUAGAAGAUGGAACAGUUUUGUUCUGUGCUGUUUCAGAAGCUUUUUAAUAAACUUAAGAAAGAACAUUCUAAGAAACAGCCAUCGUAAUUUGAACAUUUUAGGAGGCAUUUCCAAUCACUAGAGAGAGUCAAACAGAGACCUAGGGCCCAUACAUGCCCACAGAGUGGGGCGGGAGAAAUUCUUAUACUGGGCAAUUACAGUUGGAGUUUCAGGGAGCCACAAAAUAGAUUUCUUUCUUUCCUGAGUUUGUAACCAAUUGAGAAAUAAGAAAGGGGAUUAAAAAGGAGGUCCAUCUUCAUUACUAGUAAAGCCUAGGGUGUAGAGCAUGUAUGUUCCAGAUGUUUUUCUUUUUUUCCUUCUUCUUGCCGUGUAAUAAGCCACCCAAAACAGUGACAUGAAGUAAUCAUUUAUUUCCUUCUGCUGUGAAAGUUGGCCAGGCUUAUCAGGGUAAGUUUCACUCAGGUCUCUCUUGUGUUUGUACUUAAAAGUGUCUGGAAAUGGGAGUAUGCAUGCACACAUCUAGCAACUGAGCUGAAAAGACUCCAUCAGCUGGGACUGGAAUGACAUCACUCCCCUACGCCUAUCCAUAUGGUGACCUCAGGGCACCUGGACUUCUUUCACAGAGACUGAACGGUCUCAAAGUGAGAGUCCCAAGAGAAACCAACAGAAGCUGUGUGGCUUUCUAACAGCCCCAGGAAUCAAGCUGAACCACGACCACAGCAUUCUGUUUAUUAAGACAGUCACAAAGUCCCACCCAGUUUCAAAGGGAGGGAUCAUAGACUACACAUCUUGAUGGGAAGAAUGUCAAGGAAUUUGCAGACAUGUUUUAAAACCACCACAUCAGUCUUUAAAACCUUCUCCCCUUGAACUGAACUUAGCCUCAAGCAGUAAACUUACCUCUUCUAGGCCAAAGAUUGAUAUAAGAAGCUUACUAACUGCCCUCUCUGCAGGCAGGCAGGGCUCCAGGACAGAAAAUGCUUCGUUUCUUUUUCAAAUUCACCAAUCAGAUAAGUUGUUCCUGAGUUGGGGAGAGAGGACUACCGGAGAGGGGACUACGACAGGCCAGGAGGGUUACACUGGAAGUAGUCCUCACAUGGAAACUUGAGCCCCAGAAAAUGUGGAUUACCUCAUCACAUGCAGUUAGAUUGGCUGGAACUCCUUUUAUUUUUAAGCUUUCAAGAAAUUAUGAAUUUUAAUUCCUAAAUAUUAUUUGUCUAUUUAGUUCCAGAAUAACUUAAUAUCUCUGGCAAUUCUUGUCCUCAAAGAGAAUAUGGACAUUUUGUCAUAAAUAUGUGUCAAUUGUAUUUAUUUGUUUAUUCAUUUAUUUCCAUUCCUAUCAAACUGCCUUAAUUUUUUUUAAACAUCUUUUUCUGAGAUAUAAAUCAUAUAGCACACAUUUCAUGCAUUUAAAGUAUCCAAUUCAAUGGUUUGGGGUAUAUUCACAGUUAUAAGCAACUAUCACAACACCCAAUUUUAGAGCAUUUUUGUCACUUUUUGAAAAAACUCUGUGCCCUUUAGCUAUCGUCUCCCUGUCCUUGCAUUCCCCCCCAGCCCUAAGCAACAACUACUUUAUUUUUUUGUCUUUAUAGAUUUGGACAUUUAAUCUAGAUAGAAUCAUGUAUAUGUGGUCUUUUGUGUUAGGCUUCUUUCACUUAGCACGCUGUUUUCAAGGUUAAUUCAUGUUGUAGCAUGUAUCAAUACCUCAUCCAUUUUCAUGGUCAAAUAAUAUUCCACUGUUUAGAUAUACCACAUUUUGUUUAUGCACUUAUCAAGAGAUGGACAUUUGGGUUGUUCCCACCUUUUGGUUAUAAACAUCUGUGUACAAGUUUAUGCGUGGACAUGCUUUCAUUUCUCUUGUGUAUAUACCUAGGAGUGCAAUUGCUGGGUCAUAGGGAUGAUUUGAAGAAUGUCAAAAUAUUUUCCAAAGUGGCUACACCUUUAUAUUGCCACUAGCCAUGGAUGAAGGUUCUUGUUUUUCCAGAUCUUCAACACUUGUUAUCAUCUGACUUUUUAAUUCUAGCCAUCCUAGUGGAUGUGAAGUAAUAUUUCAUUGUAGAUUUGAUUUGCAAUUCCCUGAUGACUAAUGAAGUUGAGCAUCUUAUAUGCUUAUUGGCCAUUUGUAUAUUGUCUUUGGA
rnacentral:lncRNA from 1 species